CUUGUGUAUAUAAAAAAGAAGAUGUGGUAUGAUUGCCAAUGAGACAACUACAUGUAUCCACAAAAGACCAAAAUGACACAGACAUUAACAACUAUAAGUCACUGUACGACCUUAACAAUACAUGAUAUAAGCUUAUUAUUUCACUUGCAUAUAUGAAGAACUCGUCACAAAACAUGCAAAAGGGUUUCAUAUGAAAUAAAAUUUAAAAAAUAAAAUCCUCCCACCCGCCCCAUUUUUUUCAAAAAUUUGGAUGAAAAUCUACUAAUUAAUUUUAGUUGGCCUUAACU
rnacentral:lncRNA from 1 species